AGUGGAAUUGCUGGGUCAUAUGACAGGUCCAUGUUUAAUAUUUUAAGGAACUUCCAAACUGUUUUCCAAAGUGGCUGCAUCAUUUUACAUUCCCUCUAGCAGU
rnacentral:pre_miRNA from 1 species